UUUUUUUUUUUUUUGGGUAAACUUCAAAUACCACAACGUAGUUUCACACUUUCUUAAUUUAGUUCCCUAUGAUUUAAAGGGUAUUAAAUUAGUAUCUUGUUAUUUCAUUUUUAUUUUUUCGCCAGCUUUUUCGUUAAUAUUUUGUUAAAUUAUAUACAAAAAAUUUUAGAUACCCUACCUAGGCUUAUCAAAUAUUCACUUUAGUACCCCUUAGUUUUAACUUUGUCACUGAUUUAACGAAAAAAAUUAAUAAAAUCAAUAAUAAAAAGAUAAAAAUGAAACCACAGGACACUAAAUUAAUACACGUUAAACCAUAACGUACUAAAGUCAGAAAGUAUGAAGUGGCAUUUGAAGUUUUUUAUUAUUAUUAUUAUUAUCAUUAUUGUUAUUAUUAUUGUUAUUAGUAUUAUUAGUAUAUUUGGGAGGUGUGGAGUGUGUGGAGGGGACAUGCUAUGAA
rnacentral:lncRNA from 1 species